AAAAAGAUAAGCUAAAUAAGCUAAUAGGUUCAUACCCUAUUUAUAGAAGUAUAAAUCUUCUUCUUUUUA
rnacentral:tRNA from 1 species